GACGAACGCUGGCGGCGCGCUUAACACAUGCGAGUCGAACGGAAAGGCCUGCUUUCCCUUGUGGAUUGCGGGUACUCGAGUGGCGAACGGGUGAGUAACACGUGAGUGAUCUGCCCCCAACUUGGGUAUAAGCCUGGGAAACUGGGUCUAAUUCCCGAUAGGACUGCAGGGUGGUGCCUGUGGUGGAAAACGAUUUUCUAGUGGUUGGGGAUGAGCUCGCGGCCUAUCAGCUUGUUGGUGGGGUAAUGGCCUACCAAGGCGGCGACGGGUAGCCGGCCUGAGAGGGUGGACGGCCACAUUGGGACUGAGAUACGGCCCAGACUCCUACGGGAGGCAGCAGUGGGGAAUAUUGGACAAUGGGCGGAAGCCUGAUGCAGCGACGCCGCGUGGGGGAUGACGGCCUUCGGGUUGUAAACUCCUUUCGACCGCGAGGAAGCCACCUGGUUGGAAGGGUGGUGACGGUAGUGGUAGAAGAAGCACCGGCUAACUACGUG
rnacentral:rRNA from 1 species